rnacentral:sRNA from 1 species
AAAAUAGGAACUCAGUCUAAGGUCAUUACAAACUAAAAUAACGGCUGAGUAAUCAACAUCGUGUUGG